rnacentral:rRNA from 1 species
CCGACGGGAGGCAGCAGUGGGGAAGAUUGCACAAUGGGGGAAAGCAGGAUGCAGCGACGCCGCGUGAGUGAAGAAGUAUCUCGGUACGUAAAGCUCUAUCAGCAGGGAAGAAAAUGACGGUACCUGACUAAGAAGCCCCGGCUAACUACGUGCCAGCAGCCGCGGUAAUACGUAGGGGGCAAGCGUUAUCCGGAUUUACUGGGUGUAAAGGGAGCGUAGACGGCAGCACAAGUCUGGAGUGAAAUCCCGGGGCUUAACCCCGGAACUGCUUUGGAAACUGUGCGGCUGGAGUGCAGGAGGGGUAAGCGGAAUUCCUAGUGUAGCGGUGAAAUGCGUAGAUAUUAGGAGGAACACCGGUGGCGAAGGCGGCUUACUGGACUGUAACUGACGUUGAGGCUCGAAAGCGUGGGGAGCAAACAGGAUUAGAUACCCUUGUAGUC